rnacentral:rRNA from 1 species
AUUGAACGCUGGCGGCAGGCUUAACACAUGCAAGUCGAACGGUAGCAGGAGGAAGCUUGCUUUCUUGCUGACGAGUGGCGGACGGGUGAGUAAUGCUUGGGAAUCUGGCUUAUGGAGGGGGAUAACUACGGGAAACUGUAGCUAAUACCGCGUAGAAUCGGAAGAUGAAAGUGCGGGACCGCAAGGCCGCAUGCCAUGAGAUGAGCCCAAGUGGGAUUAGGUAGUUGGUGGGGUAAAGGCCUACCAAGCCUGCGAUCUCUAGCUGGUCUGAGAGGAUGGCCAGCCACACUGGAACUGAGACACGGUCCAGACUCCUACGGGAGGCAGCAGUGGGGAAUAUUGCGCAAUGGGGGAAACCCUGACGCAGCCAUGCCGCGUGAAUGAAGAAGGCCUUCGGGUUGUAAAGUUCUUUCGGUAUUGAGGAAGGUUGAUGUGUUAAUAGUACAUCAAAUUGACGUUAAAUACAGAAGAAGCACCGGCUAACUCCGUGCCAGCAGCCGCGGUAAUACGGAGGGUGCGAGCGUUAAUCGGAAUAACUGGGCGUAAAGGGCACGCAGGCGGUUAUUUAAGUGAGGUGUGAAAGCCCCGGGCUUAACCUGGGAAUUGCAUUUCAGACUGGGUAACUAGAGUACUUUAGGGAGGGGUAGAAUUCCACGUGUAGCGGUGAAAUGCGUAGAGAUGUGGAGGAAUACCGAAGGCGAAGGCAGCCCCUUGGGAAUGUACUGACGCUCAUGUGCGAAAGCGUGGGGAGCAAACAGG